CCUACGGGAGGCAGCAGUGAGGAAUAUUGGUCAAUGGGCGUAAGCCUGAACCAGCCAAGUCGCGUGAGGGAUGAAGGCUCUAUGGAUCGUAAACCUCUUUUAUAAGGGAAUAAAGUGCGGGACGUGUCCCGUUUCGUAUGUACCUUAUGAAUAAGCAUCGGCUAACUCCGUGCCAGCAGCCGCGGUAAUACGGAGGAUCCGAGCGUUAUCCGGAUUUAUUGGGUUUAAAGGGUGCGUAGGCGGCAAUUGAAGUCAGCGGGGAAAAUGUGUGGCUCAACCAUUGAAUUGCCGUUGAAACUGGGAGGCUUGAGUGUGUGUGAGGCAGGCGGAAUGCGUGGUGUAGCGGUGAAAUGCUGAGAUAUCACGCAGAACCCCGAUUGCGAAGGCAGCCUACCAAGCCAUGACUGACGCUGAUGCACGAAAGCGUGGGGAUCGAACAGGAUUAGAUACCCGUGUAGUC
rnacentral:rRNA from 1 species